AAUGGGGGCAACCCUGAUCCAGCCAUGCCGCGUGUGUGAAGAAGGCCUUCGGGUUGUAAAGCACUUUAAGCGAGGAGGAAGGUUUUUAGUUUAAUACACUAAAGAAUUGACGUUACUCGCAGAAUAAGCACCGGCUAACUCUGUGCCAGCAGCCGCGGUAAUACAGAGGGUGCAAGCGUUAAUCGGAAUUACUGGGCGUAAAGCGCGCGUAGGCGGUUUGUUAAGUCGGAUGUGAAAUCCCUGGGCUCAACCUAGGCACUGCAUCCGAUACUGGCUAACUAGAGUGUGGGAGAGGAAGGUAGAAUUCCAGGUGUAGCGGUGAAAUGCGUAGAGAUCUGGAGGAAUACCGAUGGCGAAGGCAGCCUUCUGGCCUAACACUGACGCUGAGGUGCGAAAGCAUGGGGAGCAAA
rnacentral:rRNA from 1 species